CGCAUCUGUGCAUGCAGCAUAUCAAUAAGCGGAGGAAAAGAAACUAACAAGGAUUCCCUUAGUAACGGCGAGUGAAGCGGGAAGAGCUCAAAUUUGAAAUCUUCAAGGUUUUACCUUGACGAAUUGUAGUUUAAAGAAGUGUUUUCUGUUGAAGUUUUGGUAAAAGUUCUUUGGAAUAGGACAUCAUAGAGGGUGAGAAUCCCGUAUUUGACCAUUAUUUUCAGCUGUGUGAUACACUUUCAAAGAGUCGGAUUGUUUGGGAAUGCAGUCCAAAAUGGGAGGUAAAUUUCAUCUAAAGCUAAAUAUUGGCGAGAGACCGAUAGCGAACAAGUACCGUGAGGGAAAGAUGAAAAGAACUUUGAAAAGAGAGUUAAACAGUACGUGAAAUUGUCAAAAGGGAAGCGUUUGACACCAGUGUUGUUUUCUCGAAAAUCAAUUAAAAAGAGUUAGAUUUUGUUGUGUAUUGACCUUAACAGCUUGCAUUUCAAUUUUCUUGCUUUUUUUAAUGCACUUUUCGUUUAACAAGUCAACAUCAGUUUCUUUUGUUGUAAAAAGGGUCAUUGGAAGGUGGCUUUCUUUUCGGAGAAAGUGUUUAUAGCCUUUGACUCCUGCAAUCGGAGAGACUGAGGUCUGCAGCGUAGAUCCUUCGGGGUUAGAUACAUUUGUGCUAAGUUAUAGCUUUUUAUAGACAACUUGUUGACUAUGAUUAGUCUUGUAGCUUACUCGCUUAUGCUAUUUUACCUACGCUUAGGAUGUUGACGCGCGUGUGUGCGUG
rnacentral:rRNA from 1 species